rnacentral:lncRNA from 1 species
GUUGUGAUAGGCAUCUGCACUGAACAAUCUAUAAAUAAAGGAAUGUGGGAGACUAUACAUCAUAAAUAUUUAUUUCCCAGUUUAUGUUUCCCUAUCCAUCAGACAGACCUGUGGCUGAGGCUGAAAAUGUAUUUGUGAUUAACACUUGUAGCAGCUGCAAAACGAGCAGUGGGGACAUCUCAUGGUCUUUAUUAAUUUAGAGGUAGUGGGAAAGUGGGACCAAGUUUCUUAAAACUGUGUCCCAGUGGCUUUCCUGACACAUUGCACAACACGAGCUAGCCAGAUGUUCAAAUUGCCUCUGGAGACAAAAUGAACAUAGCUUUUGAUAUCAGUGUGACUUCUGUCUCUGUCAGAGAGCCACCCCCACAAGUGAAGAGCCGCUCUCAGCAGUUGCUGCCCACAAGCCCACAUCCAUUCUGCACUGCCGGGUAUGUGGCAAGAAAAGCAACAGAAAGACUUCAAGAGGGACCGACUUUCAAGUUCAAAUGCAGAAUGGAACAAAACCUCACAACUUGCUAGAAAAUGAAGAUGGGUUUCAGUCACAAAAUGGAGGAUGGAGCUUUGUUGGGAGACAAGAGAGCUGAUACUCAGGAGAAACAAGUGACGCGGUUUGAUGUGGUCAAGAAAGGAGCUGGAGAGAGGAUCAGAGUCAUCUGAUGCAAUCAGAAGGCUAAGCAGGAUGCUGCUGCAAUAGCUUGUGACGUAAGAUGGUGAGAUCUUGGCUAGCAGAAACCGGUCCUUGAACAGUGGGAAAAACCUCCCUUUUACAGCUGGAGUGGAGGAAGUGUCUGAACAGAAAAAUAACUUGGAUGGAUUGCUCAGUGGAGAAAGCUUAACCAAAAAUGGCAUCUUCUUAUGAGCAUGAGAGUUACUGAAGGAAACACAAAAUCCCAAGGAAAAGAAAUGUAAAUAUUUCUUGCUUAAGAAGAACUAUUUUGGGGUCUGCAACACAGGAGGGGGGCUCAUUGCCAGAAAUAUCCUGAAAAACAAGGAUCAGAUUUAGUGGUCUGACAGUACCAACAGGCUGAUGUCCCUGUUGAGCAUUUAAAUCUGCCAAAAUUACAUUGUAUAGCUAAAGUAUAAACUGCAGUCUCUGAAGAAGUCUGUGUGCCCUGGUAACACUGGCUGCACCUAGCCCAGGGAAGGAGAUAACAGCAGUUAACACCUCCUUACCAAUGCAUCUUCCAACACCACUGCAGACAAACAAUUUUAUGUAAGACUGAUCUAAACUUGGCAGCACCCUUCCUGUUGCAAGAGACUUCAUCAAGCUAGACGUGGCCAUCCUGCCGCUUGUGCUGCCCGUGUUGUGCAGCUGCAAGCCUGUCUAUGCCUGUUCCUCUCCUCAGUACAGCUGGUGGAGAAGGGCUUCUGUGCAAGUGGAAGUGGUAUCUGGUUUCUCACUGCUUUCUCAUUUAACAAAGACACAGCAGAGCCCUGCACAUACCCAGCCUCAAGUAAAGGGGAUAGACUGAUUCUGCCUCUUCAAACAACAUAUGAUUUGGUUGAUGGGAUUUCUUUU